rnacentral:rRNA from 1 species
UGAGGAAUAUUGCGCAAUGGCCGAAAGGCUGACGCAGCAACGCCGCGUGAGGGAUGAAGUUCUUCGGAAUGUAAACCUCUGUUAGAGGGGACGAAUGAGGGAGAGACCAAUAGACUCUCUCUUUGACGGUACCUUCAGAGAAAGCCCCGGCUAACUCCGUGCCAGCAGCCGCGGUAACACGGGGGGGGCAAGCGUUGUCCGGAAUUAUUGGGCGUAAAGGGCGCGUAGGUGGGAAAGCAAGUCUGGGGUGCAAACUUGUGGCUUAACUGCAAGCUUGCCCUGGAUGCUACUGUUCUUGAGUUCGGAAGAGGGUAGUGGAAUUCCUGGUGUAGCGGUGAAAUGCGUAGAUAUCAGGAAGAACACCGGUGGCGAAGGCGGCUACCUGGUCCGAUACUGACACUGAGGCGCGAAAGUGCGGGGAGCAAACAG